AGUACCAUCCAUACCAGCCUCAAUGUGCCCGAUCUGUCUGAUCUCAGAAGCUAAGCAGGGUCGAAACUGGUUAGUAUUU
rnacentral:rRNA from 1 species